GUACGGCCGCAAGGUUAAAACUCAAAUGAAUUGACGGGGGCCCGCACAAGCGGUGGAGCAUGUGGUUUAAUUCGAUGCAACGCGAAGAACCUUACCUGGUCUUGACAUCCACGGAAGUUUUCAGAGAUGAGAAUGUGCCUUCGGGAACCGUGAGACAGGUGCUGCAUGGCUGUCGUCAGCUCGUGUUGUGAAAUGUUGGGUUAAGUCCCGCAACGAGCGCAACCCUUAUCCUUUGUUGCCAGCGGUCCGGCCGGGAACUCAAAGGAGACUGCCAGUGAUAAACUGGAGGAAGGUGGGGAUGACGUCAAGUCAUCAUGGCCCUUACGACCAGGGCUACACACGUGCUACAAUGGCGCAUACAAAGAGAAGCGACCUCGCGAGAGCAAGCGGACCUCAUAAAGUGCGUCGUAGUCCGGAUUGGAGUCUGCAACUCGACUCCAUGAAGUCGGAAUCGCUAGUAAUCGUGGAUCAGAAUGCCACGGUGAAUACGUUCCCGGGCCUUGUACACACCGCCCGUCACACCAUGGGAGUGGGUUGCAAA
rnacentral:rRNA from 1 species